GCCGGGCGUGGUGGCGCGCGCCUGUAGUCCCAGCUACUCGGGAGGCUGAGGUGGGAGGAUCGCUUGAGUCCAGGAGUUCUGGGCUGCAGUGCGCUAUGCCAAUCGGGUGUCCGCACUAAGUUCGGCAUCAAUAUGGUGACCUCCCGGGAGCGGGGGACCACCAGGUUGCCUAAGGAGGGGUGAACCGGCCCAGGUCGGAAACGGAGCAGGUCAAAACUCCCGUGCUGAUCAGUAGUGGGAUCGCGCCUGUGAAUAGCCACUGCACUCCAGCCUGGGCAAUAUAGUGAGACCCUGUCUCU
ensembl:misc_RNA Metazoa_SRP Metazoan signal recognition particle RNA